UUUCAGUGCCUGCAGCGUGCUGAGGACGACAGCGCUCAGAACACAUGCCCCCAAUCUGCUUUGUGUUUACCCGGGUUUACCCACCUCCAGAACGGUGCAGAACAAUGCCUGGCUCUAGCGAGGUGAGGCUGCAUCCGCCAGCUCUUGUUAUUUCCCGCCCCAAAGCAGCCUAUGGUGGAGGAACCAGGGAAACCAGGCUGUCCCGUGCAUCUCUCCCCAGGAGAGCAGCCCUUUGCUGAGCAUGACAGGGGAAAUCAUUGAGACCACACUUUUAUUGAAAGCUCUGUGUCUGGCUGCUGUGUUCUGAACUGUGAUUGAUUACAGAGCCUGCUGGAUGCGCCGGACAGCUCCAGGGUGGCGGGUGUGUUCCUGGCACAGACAUGUGAGCUUGGGGUCACGAGGUUUAAUGAACACUUUGCACCCUGCUGGCGCCUUGAAAGUUGAUGCUUUCACAGGCGGCCGGGGCAUCUGCCGGCAGGUUUUCCAGUUCAGCAUUUUUCAUUUUGCAGUCAAGGCAGGAGAUGGGGGGAGAAGUGAUAAAGUGGGACCUGGGGCAUCUGCCAGAGCUAUGCUGAUGCUCCCCUCUGUGCUCCUGGCAGAAGCCACAGCCAAGGGGAACACUGGUCAGCCGGCCACCACCCUGCACCCUGACAAAUGGAGCUGAAGCCACAGAACACGUGGGCUGCUGUGUGGAGCUGGCACUCCUGCCGGGCUGCCUCUCCAACCCAGAAGCUGAGGCUCCCCAGGAAAGUUCCAGCAGCAGCAGCCAGCCAGCCUAACUCCAUCCUGGAGCACACCUGGUCUCAAAUCUCUGCAGACUCACUCUCCGAGAGGAGCGCCUUCGUGGUGGGUUGAAUCGAUGCCAUUGGGACAUCACUAACAGCAACACACAGUACAUCAAGGGUGGGCUUCUAGGUAAGACUUCUUCUAAAGGAAGUUUCUGUGGAUUUCAUGAAAACAACUGGCAUGAAGGUGAAAAGCAAAGCUCUCUAUCCAAAGACGUCAUGAUUCCCAACCCAGCCUCUCCCUGUGACGGCACCAGCUUGAGUGGGCAGCCAGGAUGCCGACUGGCUCUCUCCGUGCUGGGGUGGGGUCAGGGCUAUAGCCCACGGAGGAAGCCAGAGGGAGAACUUUAAAGCGGGGCAAAGUCCCAGUUCCCCAGUCCCAUGGGAAUGAACCCCAGUCGGGAGAAACAAGAAGAAACUUUCCUAGAUGGCUUCUCAUGAAGGUGCAGAGCAGGACCCAGCAGCGGCCGGAGACAGGCAGAUCCAGCGUCAGGGCACAGGCCUCGUGACAACAGACCAUGGGCAGGAGAACACACAGGAACGAGGGUGAAGUGGAACAUUCCAGAAACACCACCGCUUGCCACCGUGGGGGACAGUGUGGGACUGCCAGCACCAAGCAUCUGUGAGGAAGGGUCCAGGCUGCCUCUGGGCUUAGAGGCUUCCAACUUCCUGAGGACCCGAUGACUAAAGUGUUGAGCCAUGUAAUAGGUAUCAACUCCACUUCCUCACGCAGGCGAGAGAGGGUCUGCUUGUAGUCACACACGCAGCGUAAGACCAAGCCUUUGACUGUGUCGAAUGGACAGCUUGUCAUCUGCCUGCUGGAAGUUUAAGUUGCAGCAAUUCACUCAUUCCUCAGGCUGUGCAAACACUGAGCUGCUCAUCUCGCCACAAGGGAAGAUUAGUGAUAUGGUUUGGAUUUGUGUCACCCCUAAAUCUCAUGUCAAGUUGGAGGAGGGGCCUGGUGGGAGGUGAUUGAAUCCAAGGGGCCAACUUCCCUUGCUGUUCUCAUCAUAGUGAGAUCUCACGAGAUCUGACGGUUUAAGUGUGUGCAGCACUUCCCCCUUCGCUCUCUCUCUCCUGCUCCACCACAAGAUGUACCUUGCUUCCCCUUCUGCCAUGAUUGUAAGUUUCCUGAGGCUUCCUACCCAUGCUUCCUGUUAAGCCUGUGAAACUGAGUGAAUUAAACCUCU
rnacentral:lncRNA from 10 species